AACCUCCAGAUGCUUUACCCUUCAGAUUUAAAUAUUGGUUUGUGUGGCUAGAAAAGGAGAGAAAGUAAAACUGGAGUGGACUUGGAGUUUUCGGUGGCAUACAAAUUCAUUAGAACAAAA
rnacentral:snoRNA from 1 species